AAAUUAUUUUUAGUUUCAGAUAUAGAGACAGUCAAUGAUGAUGAUGACAUGUCGUCACCUGAUAAUGAGAUAAAUACUCUCAUAAAAUAUAUGACGGAAGGAAAGAAUAAAGCGGAACAACCUACAAAAAGUUCCUUUUUUACUUAAUGUGAUGAUACUACUGUGGCAUUUCAAGAAUUUACUGUUGGAAAUUACAGUUUAAACGUUGAAAAUAUUGAGCCGGUUCCGUGCACUUCAAAACAGCAUUUAUAUGACUUAAAUUCAGACUUUGAACCAUAUUCUCCUGAACACUCGGAAUAUAAUCCAGAGUCUGAAAAUUCUUCUAGCAGUGAUUUGGAUUCCCAAGUUGGCACAUUACAAAGAAACAAUAUUGAAUUACACGAUAUGGAAGAGUUGCCUGUUAGGACAGAUAAGUCGAGAAAAAGGAAAAGAAAUGAAAAAAAAAUUGGAAAAGGAAUGUUGGAAAAUUAAAAAAACAACGUGGCGAGGCACACAUAUCAUCAAGAGGCAAACACGUUCCGGGGGUAGCAAUGAAAGAUCCGUGUUUAGCUAUUUGCAAAAGACAAUGCAGUGAAGUUUUUUCUUAUGAUGAACGAUUGUCGAUUUUUCGGAGAUUCACGGUCAUACAGAAAAUAAAAAUGGCAUACCAAAGAACAGUCCAGACGACAAAACACCAUUUUUUUCUUUUUGCCAAAAAAUUCUAACCGGAUUCAGGUUUGCAAAACGAUGUUUAUCAAUACCCUAGGAAUUAGAAAGGGAGUUGUGGAUAUUGCGAUGAAAGCGAGAACUGAACAAAACACAAGUUUGGAAGACAAGCGCGGAAAAUUUUAAAAAAGUCUGAAAUAAUGAAUAGUGUUAAAAGUCAUAUUGAGAAGUUUUCAGUAGUCGGCUCACACUAUUGUCGUUCAAAAACGCAACGUAAAUAUUUGGCCUCUGACUUAAACAUAACAAUUAUGAACUCUCUUUAUAAAAAAGAAUGCAAUGAAAAAAAAAACAAACACCAGCUAGCUCUGCCAUUUAUAGAAAGGUGUUCUCAGAGGAGGAUAACCUUGGUUUUUAUCGACCUCGCAAAGAUCAGUGUCGGAUUUGUAUGGCCUACAAUUCUCCUUUAAGUGAUAAACCAUCUAUGCAAAUUGAGUAUUUGGCUCAUAUAGCAGCUAAGGAUAGAGUGCGCGAUGAAAAGCGAAUAAGCAGACAGUUGGCGGAAAAUUCAAACGGAAAACUCAUAAGUUGCAAUUUUGAUUUGCAACAAGUGCUUCUGGUGCCAAAUGAUCCAACUAAUAUUGCCUUAUUUUAUAAGCAAAGAUUUAAAGUAUUUAACUUUACCAUUUAUAAUACUGUCUCCAAACAAGGUGAUGCUUUAUGUGGACAGAAGUUGAAGGCAAACGAGGUAGCUGUGAGAUUGCGACCUGUUUAUAUAAAUAUUUUGAAUCUUUGCCAGAAACUACAAAUAUCAGGUUCAGUGUUUUAGUGACAGAUGUGGUGGACAAAAUUUAAACAAAUUUGUAUCUGGCAUGUGCUUAACAGCCGUUCAAAAUAUUGCAAAUUUAGAAACGAUUGAACUCAACUUCUUAGUGGUCGGGACAUAGUGAAAUGGAAUGCGAUUACAUGCACUCUGCCAUGUCAACAGAAUUUAAAAGAGUAGGCAAAACUUAUUUACCACAAGACUGGAAAACAAUAGCUAGAUGUUCCCGAAGAAAGGGUGAUAAACCUUACAUCGUUCAUGAUGUUACACACGAACAAAUAUUUGAUUGGAAAAAUCAUGCAGAUAAAGUUUUAAUUUUUAGAACCAAGGAUGAAAGUGGAAAGCGA